AGAGUUUGAUCCUGGCUCAGAUUGAACGCUGGCGGCAUGGCUAAAGCAUGCAAGUCUGGGAGAACCUUCGGGGGACACCGGCGAAAGGGCGAGUAAUGCGAUCGAACGUACCCCAAUGUGGGGGAUAGCGUCGGGAAACUGGCGGUAAUACCCCAUGUGCUCUACGGAGGAAGUUGGGAGCGGCGAUCGUCCUAUCAGGUUGUUGGUGAGGUAACGGCUCACCAAGCCGAAGACGGGUAGCGGGUGUGAGAGCAUGACCCGCCGCAUCGGGACUGAGACACUGCCCGGACUCCUACGGGAGGCUGCAGUAACGAAUAUUCCGCAAUGCGCGAAAGCGUGACGGAGCAAUGCCGCGUGCAGGAUGAAGCCCCUCGGGGUGUAAACUGCUGUCAGGGUUUAGGAACACAAUGACCAAACCCAAAGGAAGGACCGGCUAACUCUGUGCCAGCAGCCGCGGUAAUACAGAGGGUCCAAGCGUUGAUCGGAAUCACUGGGCUUAAAGGGUUCGCAGGCGGAUCUGUAAGUAUGUUGUGAAAUCCCACGGCUCAACCGUGGAAUUGCUUCGUAGACUGCAGAUCUUGAGCACGACAGGGGCCAUCAGAACGAUAGGUGGAGCGGUGAAAUGCGUAGAUAUCUAUCGGAAUGCCAAAGGUGAAGACAGAUGGCUGGGUCGUCGCUGACGCUCAGGAACGAAAGCAUGGGUAGCGAACGGGAUUAGAUACCCCGGUAGUCCAUGCCCUAAACGAUGUGUACUAGUUCGAGGAGGUUUUAACGCCAUCUCGGACGAAGCUAAAGUAUUAAGUACACCGCCUGGGGAGUACGGUCGCAAGGCUAAAACUCAAAGGAAUUGACGGGGGCCCGCACAAGCGGAGGAGUAUGUGGUUUAAUUCGAUGAUACGCGAGGAACCUUACCAGGGCUUAAAUGCAGAACGAAUAUAUUGGAAACAGUAUAGCCUUCGGGCGGACUGCAAGGUGCUGCAUGGCUGUCGUCAGCUCGUGUCGUGAGAUGUUGGGUUAAGUCCCGCAAC
rnacentral:rRNA from 1 species